rnacentral:snRNA from 1 species
GCUCGCUUCAGCGGAACAUACACUAAUGUGGAAUGAUAUUGAGAAGAUUAGCAUGGCCCCUGCGCAAGGAUGAUGUACAGAUUUGUGAAGCGUUCCAUAUGUAA